rnacentral:rRNA from 1 species
UCUGCCUCAGCGUGGG